rnacentral:rRNA from 1 species
AGAGCGAACGCUGGCGGCAGGCCUAACACAUGCAAGUCGAGCGCCCCGCAAGGGGAGCGGCAGACGGGAGAGUAACACGUGGGAACGUACCCUUUGGUUCGGAACAACCCAGGGAAACUUGGGCUAAUACCGAAUAAGCCCUUACGGGGAAAGAUUUAUCGCCGAAGGAUCGGCCCGCGUCUGAUUAGCUAGUUGGUGAGGUAACGGCUCACCAAGGCGACGAUCGGUAGCUGGUCUGAGAGGAUGAUCAGCCUCACUGGGAUUGAGACACGGCCCAGACUCCUACGGGAGGCAGCAGUGGGGAAUAUUGGACAAUGGGCGCAAGCCUGAUCCAGCCAUGCCGCGUGGGUGAUGAAGGCCCUAGGGUUGUAAAGCCCUUUCGGCGGGGAAGAUAAUGACGGUACCCGCAGAAGAAGCCCGGCUAACUUCGUGCCAGCAGCCGC